UGGGGAAUAUUGCACAAUGGGGGAAACCCUGAUGCAGCAACGCCGCGUGAGUGAUGAAGGUUUUCGGAUCGUAAAGCUCUGUCUUUGGGGAAGAUAAUGACGGUACCCAAGGAGGAAGCCACGGCUAACUACGUGCCAGCAGCCGCGGUAAUACGUAGGUGGCAAGCGUUAUCCGGAUUUACUGGGCGUAAAGGGAGCGUAGGCGGAUGAUUAAGUGGGAUGUGAAAUACCCGGGCUCAACUUGGGUGCUGCAUUCCAAACUGGUUAUCUAGAGUGCAGGAGAGGAGAGUGGAAUUCCUAGUGUAGCGGUGAAAUGCGUAGAGAUUAGGAAGAACACCAGUGGCGAAGGCGACUCUCUGGACUGUAACUGACGCUGAGGCUCGAAAGCGUGGGGAGCAAACA
rnacentral:rRNA from 1 species